rnacentral:rRNA from 1 species
CCUACGGGAGGCAGCAGUGAGGAAUAUUGGUCAAUGGUCGCGAGACUGAACCAGCCAAGUCGCGUGAGGGAUGAAGGUACUGUGUAUCGUAAACCUCUUUUGUCAGGGAAUAAAGUGUGGGACGUGUCCUCGUUUGAGUGUACCUUAUGAAUAAGGAUCGGCUAACUCCGUGCCAGCAGCCGCGGUAAUACGGAGGAUCCGAGCGUUAUCCGGAUUUAUUGGGUUUAAAGGGUGCGUAGGCGGCCUUUUAAGUCAGCGGUGAAAGUCUGGGGGUAAACCCCAGCAUUGCCGUUGAAACUGGGGGGCUUGAGUAUGUGUGAGGCAGGCGGAAUGCGUGGUGUAGCGGUGAAAUGCAUAGAUAUCACGCAGAACCCCGAUUGCGAAGGCAGCCUGCCAGGCCAAGACUGACGCUGAUGCACGAAAGCGUGGGGAUCAAACAGGAUUAGAUACCCGUGUAGUC